rnacentral:rRNA from 1 species
GACGGAGGUUGCAAGUGUUAUCCGGAAUCACUGGGCGUAAAGCGUCUGUAGGUGGUCAAAUAAGUCAACUGUUAAAUCUUGAGGCUCAACCUCAAAAUCGCAGUCGAAACUAUUAGACUAGAGUAUAGUAGGGGUAAAGGGAAUUUCCAGUGGAGCGGUGAAAUGCGUAGAGAUUGGAAAGAACACCGAUGGCGAAGGCAGCCUCCUGGGCCAACACUGACGCUCAUGCACGAAAGCGUGGGGAGCAAACAGG